rnacentral:rRNA from 1 species
GACGAACGCUGGCGGCGUGCUUAACACAUGCAAGUCGAACGGUAAGGCCCUUCGGGGUACACGAGUGGCGAACGGGUGAGUAACACGUAGGUGAUCUGCCCUGCACUUCGGGAUAAGCCUGGGAAACUGGGUCUAAUACCGGAUAGGACCCUGGGAUGCAUGUCCUGGGGUGGAAAGCUUUUGCGGUGUGGGAUGGGCCCGCGGCCUAUCAGCUCGUUGGGGGGGUGAUGGCCUACCAAGGCGACGACGGGUAGCCGGCCUGAGAGGGUGACCGGCGACACUGGGACUGAGAUACGGCCCAGAGUCCUACGGGAGGCAUCAGUGGGGAAUAGUGCACAAUGGGCGCAAGCCUGAUGCAGCGACGCCGCGUGAGGGAUGACGGCCUUCGGGUUGUAAACCUCUUUCAGCACCGACGAAGCGCAAGUGACGGUAGGUGCAGAAGAAGGACCGGCCAACUACGUGCCAGCCGCCGCGGUAA